UAAGAUUUUCCUUCACUGGAACUAAGGGGCCUAGGCCGAACCAUGAAAAACGGCCCCAGACCAUUAUUCCUCCUCCACCAAACUUUACAGUUGGCACUAUGCAUUCGGGCAGGUAGCGUUCUCCUGGCAUCCACCAAACUGAGAUUUGUCCGUCAGACUGAUUUAUCAUUCAAGAGAACACGUUUCCACUGCUCCAUUGCUCCUAGACGUUUCCACUUCACAAUAACAGCACUCCCAGUUGACAAGGGUAGCUUUAGCAGGGCAGAAAUUUGACAAACCGACUUGUUGGAAAAGUGCCAUCCUAUGACCAUGCCACGUUGAAAGUCAUGCAGCUGUUCAGUAAGGCCAUUCUACUACCAAUGUUUGUCUAUGGUUGGGUUGAAUGCAGAAGACACGUUUCGUUUGAAUGCAUUCAGCUGUGCAACUGACUAGGUUUCCCCUUCCCCACUCCUUCUCCAGCUGAGUUCGCACCUGUUUGUGGCGACUGACACCUCUCCUGUACUUCUGGUGUGCUCUGAGGAUGGAACUCAUGUGCUGUGUGCUUCAGUGUGGGUGGACAUGGUGGCUCGGUGGGUGACCAGAUCCUCUCAAGCUCUGUCAGGUUGGAUGGGGAUCGUUGCUGCACAGCUAUUUUCAGGUCUCUCCAGAGAUGUUAGAUCGGGUUCAAGUCCGGGCUCUGGCUGGGCCACUCAUGAACAUUCAGAGACUUGUCCCGA
ensembl:lncRNA